UAAUCCAGUGCAUGAGACGUCGAGUUACAAAUAAAGUGGAAGAAACGUUUUUCUAUAAAAUAUACAGUGUUUUAUUUCAAUAUGGGUACACUAUCCGAUUUUGGUCAAAUAGCUUUGAAAUGGGAUCCAAAAAACUUAGAAAUUCGUACCAUGUCAGUCGAAAAAACUUUAGAGCCGUUGGUUUUGCAAGUGACAACGCUAGUGAACACUAAAGGGCCAAGCAAAAAAAAGAAAGGAAAAUCAAAGCGGGCGAGUGCACUAGUUGCUGCUGUUGAAAAAGCUACAGAAAAUUUUAUACAGAAGGGAGAGCAAAUUGCGUAUGAGAAUCCGGAUAUAACGCAAGAAAUGUUAUCUGCCGUCGACGAGGUGCGUAAAACAGGAGAUGCCAUGAGCAUUGCAGCAAGGGAGUUUUCGGAGGAUCCAUGUAGUUCAUUAAAAAGAGGGAACAUGGUGCGAGCAGCACGGAAUCUGCUUUCAGCUGUAACACGCUUAUUAAUUUUAGCAGAUAUGGUGGAUGUUCAUUUGUUGCUUAAAUCUCUUCACAUUGUUGAAGAUGAUCUUAAUAAACUUAAGAAUGCAUCAAGCCAAGACGAACUUAUGAACAACAUGCGGCAAUUCGGUCGUAACGCUGGAGAGCUCAUCAAACAAGCAGCAAAGCGUCAACAAGAACUAAAGGAUCCACAAUUGAGGGAUGACUUAGCUGCCGCACGUGCAAUGCUUAAAAAGCAUUCAACAAUGCUCCUGACUGCAUCAAAAGUUUAUGUUCGACAUCCAGAAUUAGAUCUGGCCAAAGUCAACAGAGACUUUAUCUUAAAACAAGUGUGCGAUGCUGUUAACACGAUUAGCGAUGUGGCCCAGGGCAAAUCAUCACAGCCUACCGAUGUUUAUAGUGGUGCAGGAGAACUAGCUGCAGCCUUGGACGAUUUUGACGAGGGUAUUAUAAUUGAUCCCAUGACAUACAGUGAUAAACGGUCACGUCAACUGCUGGAAGAACGUUUAGAAAGUAUUAUUAGUGCUGCUGCACUAAUGGCCGAUGCAGACUGUACAAGGGACGAGCGCAGAGAAAGAAUUGUUGCCGAAUGCAAUGCCGUCCGCCAGGCUCUACAAGAUCUCCUUUCUGAAUACAUGUCAAACAUGGGUCAAAAAGAUAACAGCCCCGCUCUAGAUCGUGCCAUUGAUCAAAUGUGUCGCAAAACUAGAGAUCUGCGUCGGCAGCUUCGCAAAGCAGUUGUUGAUCACGUGUCCGAUUCCUUUUUGGAAACAACUACGCCUUUAAUUGACUUAAUUGAAGCCGCUAAAUCUGGUAAUGAAAAAAAAGUGAGGGAAAAAGCUGAGAUAUUUACGAAGCAUGCUGAAAAAUUAGUUGAAGUUGCUAACCUCGUGUGCAGUAUGUCAAAUAACGAAGACGGGGUGAAAAUGGUCCGCUAUGCGGCGGCCCAGAUCGAAAGCUUAUGCCCCCAAGUAAUAAAUGCUGCAUCAAUUCUCACGGUUCGACCCAACUCAAAGGUUGCCCAAGAGAACAUGUCUGCUUAUCGCCAAGCAUGGGAGGUGCAAGUUCGGAUAUUAACGGAAGCUGUCGAUGACAUUACAACCAUUGAUGAUUUUUUAGCUGUUUCCGAAAAUCAUAUUCUUGAAGAUGUAAACAAAUGUGUCAUGGCGUUGCAAGUUGGGGACGCUAAGGAUCUACGUGGAACUGCUGGAUCCAUUCAAGGCCGAUCGUCCCGUGUGUGCAAUGUUGUUGAGGCUGAAAUGGACAACUAUGAGACAUGCAUUUAUACAAAGCGAGUUUUGGAAGCAGUUAAAGUGCUACGCGAGCAAGUAAUGAUAAAAUUUGAACAACGAGUUGAUGCUGCAGUAGAAGCUCUUUCAGCAAAUAGCAACAAAAAUGUCGACGAAAAUGACUUUAUUGAUGCCUCCCGUUUGGUUUACGAUGGUGUGCGUGAAAUCCGACGUGCAGUAUUAAUGAACCGAAGUUCUGAUGAUCUAGAUACUGACACAGAGUUCGAGCCAGUCGAAGACUUAACAUUGGAAACGCGUAGUCGAUCAAGCGCUCACACUGGGGAUCAAACUGUUGACGAAUAUCCGGACAUUAGUGGUAUUUGUACUGCUAGGGAAGCAAUGCGUAAAAUGACAGAAGAGGAUAAGCAAAAAAUUGCACAACAAGUAGAACUAUUUCGUCGCGAAAAACUUACUUUUGAUUCAGAGGUUGCAAAAUGGGAUGACACUGGCAACGACAUCAUUUUCUUGGCAAAACAUAUGUGUAUGAUAAUGAUGGAGAUGACUGACUUCACUAGAGGCCGUGGUCCUUUAAAGACUACCAUGGAUGUUAUCAACGCCGCCAAGAAAAUAUCGGAAGCCGGUACUAAACUCGAUAAGCUAACUCGUGAAAUAGCAGAGCAAUGCCCUGAAAGUAGCACUAAAAAAGACUUAUUGGCAUAUUUGCAACGUAUUGCUCUCUACUGUCACCAAAUUCAGAUAACUUCUAAAGUCAAAGCAGAUGUACAAAACAUAAGUGGGGAACUGAUUGUUUCAGGGCUGGAUAGCGCAACUUCUUUGAUACAAGCAGCUAAGAAUCUAAUGAAUGCCGUAGUGCUAACAGUAAAAUAUUCUUACGUAGCAUCAACAAAAUACACAAGACAAGGCACUGUCACUGGAUAUACUACUAGAAAACUCUUAAUUGUAUUUGCAAAUUAAAAAAACUGUUAACCAUCUAGACAUCAAGACAUAAAUGCCUAUUCAAUUCAGUCAUAACGAUAACUGAUCUGCAUCUAGGCAUCUGGUAUUGGAGCUAGUGGGUUAGCAAAUAGUCAGACGCCGUAAAGACUCUCACUAUAUUAUGAUUUAUGCCAUUCAAUCUCCAAUCGUUGUAUGGAAAAUGAAGGCACCAGAGAAAAAACCACUUGUGCGGCCUGAGAAACCAGAAGAAGUUCGCGCUAAAGUUCGAAAGGGAUCGCAGAAAAAAAUUCAAAAUCCUAUUCAUGCUCUUUCUGAAUUCCAAAGUCCCGCUGAUGCUGUUUAAAGGACACAAUAUAAAUUAUAAAUUUAAGUAUUAUAUACCUAAUUAUUAUUUUAUGAUAAACAUUAACUCUUAACAGGAA